GAGUAAUGUCUGGGAAACUGCCUGAUGGAGGGGGAUAACUACUGGAAACGGUGGCUAAUACCGCAUAACGUCGCAAGACCAAAGAGGGGGACCUUCGGGCCUCUUGCCAUCAGAUGUGCCCAGAUGGGAUUAGCUUGUUGGUGAGGUAACGGCUCACCAAGGCGACGAUCCCUAGCUGGUCUGAGAGGAUGACCAGCCACACUGGAACUGAGACACGGUCCAGACUCCUACGGGAGGCAGCAGUGGGGAAUAUUGCACAAUGGGCGCAAGCCUGAUGCAGCCAUGCCGCGUGUAUGAAGAAGGCCUUCGGGUUGUAAAGUACUUUCAGCGGGGAGGAAGGUGUUGUGGUUAAUAACCGCAGCAAUUGACGUUACCCGCAGAAGAAGCACCGGCUAACUCCGUGCCAGCAGCCGCGGUAAUACGGAGGGUGCAAGCGUUAAUCGGAAUUACUGGGCGUAAAGCGCACGCAGGCGGUCUGUCAAGUCGGAUGUGAAAUCCCCGGGCUCAACCUGGGAACUGCAUUCGAAACUGGCAGGCUUGAGUCUUGUAGAGGGGGGUAGAAUUCCAGGUGUAGCGGUGAAAUGCGUAGAGAUCUGGAGGAAUACCGGUGGCGAAGGCGGCCCCCUGGACAAAGACUGACGCUCAG
rnacentral:rRNA from 1 species